AUUGAACGCUGGCGGCAGGCUUAACACAUGCAAGUCGAACGAGUGGCGGACGGGUGAGUAAUGCUUGGGAAUCUGGCUUAUGGAGGGGGAUAACGACGGGAAACUGUCGCUAAUACCGCGUACCAUAGGAUGAGCCCAAGUGGGAUUAGGUAGUUGGUGAGGUAAAGGCUCACCAAGCCGACGAUCUCUAGCUGGUCUGAGAGGAUGACCAGCCACACUGGGACUGAGACACGGCCCAGACUCCUACGGGAGGCAGCAGUGGGGAAUAUUGGACAAUGGGCGAAAGCCUGAUCCAGCCAUGCCGCGUGUGUGAAGAAGGUCUUCGGAUUGUAAAGCACUUUAAGUUGGGAGGCGUUACCAACAGAAUAAGCACCGGCUAACUUCGUGCCAGCAGCCGCGGUAAUAC
rnacentral:rRNA from 1 species